AUAGAUAAUUAGUAUAAGUAAAAUAUUUGAUUUCGGCUCAAAAGUUUGUGGUUAAAUUCCACAAUUAUCUA
rnacentral:tRNA from 1 species